UUGGAAUCUUCAUGCACAAGCAAACACCAUUCAAAUUGCACAUCCAUUUCCAUUUGGUAUGACCUCAGCAUUCAUUUCCACUUGAUUUUGGGCCUCACAUGCGCCUGUACAGGCCCAUGCAUGGAGGACCCAAAGCUUCAUGUACACGGAUUCUAUACUUGCUUGCUUGCAGUUCAGCUAUAAAUACAUUGCCAUGCCUCAUUCAAAUGCAACCUUAAGGCUAC
rnacentral:lncRNA from 1 species